rnacentral:rRNA from 1 species
GGAAUGCGCAGAUAUCAGGAGGAACACCGAUGGCGAAGGCAGAUCUCUGGGCCGUGACUGACGCUGAGGAGCGAAAGGGUGGGGAGCAAACAGGCUUAGAUACCCUGGUAGUCCACCCCGUAAACGUUGGGAACUAGUUGUGGGGGCCUUUCCACGGUCUCCGUGACGCAGCUAACGCAUUAAGUUCCCCGCCUGGGGAGUACGGCCGCAAGGCUAAAACUCAAAGGAAUUGACGGGGACCCGCACAAGCGGCGGAGCAUGCGGAUUAAUUCGAUGCAACGCGAAGAACCUUACCAAGGCUUGACAUACACCGGAAACGUCCAGAGAUGGUCGCCCCUUUUUGGUCGGUGUACAGGUGGUGCAUGGUUGUCGUCAGCUCGUGUCGUGAGAUGUUGGGUUAAGUCCCGCAACGAGCGCAACCCUCGUUCUAUGUUGCCAGCACGUUAUGGUGGGAACUCAUGGGAUACUGCCGGGGUCAACUCGGAGGAAGGUGGGGAUGACGUCAAAUCAUCAUGCCCCUUAUGUCUUGGGCUUCACGCAUGCUACAAUGGCCGGUACAAUGGGCUGCGAUACCGUGAGGUGGAGCGAAUCCCAAAAAGCCGGUCCCAGUUCGGAUCGUAGUCUGCAACUCGACUACGUGAAGUCGGAGUCGCUAGUAAUCGCAGAUCAGCAACGCUGCGGUGAAUACGUUCCCGGGUCUUGUACACAC